UGAUUUUGUGUGACAUAGAAUGGCAGGUAUGGAGAAAGUGAAUGAGAAGGAGGAGCUGCCGGCGGCGGCGGCUUCAGACGUCACCGAUCUGGUUGAGGACGAUGCUAAUGAUACGGCGCUGGUGGAUCAAAACAAAGCUGAGGCGGAAGCGCAAGAGACGGAGAUGGAGACGACGACGAAAGCUGGGUGAAAAAGGUAGCGGCCUUCGGGGGUACGAUGGCACUGCACUUUCAAGGUGGAACUGAAAGUGAGGCUGGAGAGCAAGAGGAGGAGAGUAGUGAGAAAACGAAGAGGAAUGAAUUAGAAAAGGGGAGUAGUGCACAAGCAGAAGAAGAUGUAGAGAGAUAUAUAAAUGAGACAAUAGAGUUUGAAGUGAAAUAUGUGGACAAUGGGGAAAAAGAGAUAGAAUUGGUGUUGGAAUUGGAAAAGUUCAAGAGAUAUGCUCCACACUGCCACAACUGUGACCAUCUAGCUACUAAACUUAUUCUUCGUCGUAAGAUUGUUGACCCGAAACCCAAUCCGAAUCCGAAUCCGAAUCCCAAUCCCAAUCCGAAUAAAAAAUAUUGGUUUGUGAUAUGGUUUGAGUUUUUCAUCGUUUUGAUUUGGGGGAAAAAGGAUCUCAAUCCAUCCAACCAAGAGGAACCUGCAGGUUCUGAAAAGAGUGUAAACAAAGAACAAAGCAAGAAAGAAGAUGGAAAAGGUCUACUUCCAACAAUCAACCUACCAAACAAAAAUGAAAGUGAACCUAAGAGAGGAGAUACUGAAAAAAGCGAAAGCGAAAACGAAAUAAAAGACAAGGAAGAAGGUGGAAAAGGUGAUCAACUUCCACCAAUCGACCAAGCAGACAAAAAUGAAGAUGGGCCUAAUGGAGAUGAUGGGGAGGAGGAGGAGGAGGUGAAACCGAUGAUUAUUGAAUUACUUAUAAGACUUUGUGGUCGUCUAAAAACAGUGGAGAUCUUAAAAUGCAUUGUGUAGGGGGGUCUAAUCGAGUCCACCACCAGCUUGAGCAUCGUCGCCUCUGGGGCCGCCACAGAUGCCUCUACAUCUAAGUUUUUACAUUCAUUCAAAUAUACUACACGACAUAUAUACAAAACUACAACAUAUUAGUAAAUUAAUUAUUUCUUGAUGACAUGACAGUGAAUGUCUUUGCUAUUGGAUUGGCACUCUAUCCAGUGGCCUCUUUGCUAUUGGCAGUAAGCUUGCUGACUUAAAGAGGGGUGGAAAUAAACAUUACAAGGAGCAACUUGGUGGUAGUAGUAAGAAGUUUGUAUUUCACUCCACAUUAGUGAUACUAUCAUACCUCGUUUUCGGGCUGGUAGCCCCCUCUACUUUCGCCUUCACCUUUGUCGACAAGUACGCCAAGAUUCUUGCUACGGCUGCUGCUGGUUUUUCUUGCAUUUUCAUCCUCGUGAUUGCCAAAGUUUAUGUUUGAAAUAUUGCAGCCUUUACACGGACAACCCUUGCUAUUAUAAAAGAACAAAACUGGAAGGUAAAUGUAACAAUGUAAAUUACAACAAAC